AUUGAACGCUGGCGGCAGGCCUAACACAUGCAAGUCGAGCGGAUGACGGGAGCUUGCUCCUUGAUUCAGCGGCGGACGGGUGAGUAAUGCCUAGGAAUCUGCCUGGUAGUGGGGGACAACGUUUCGAAAGGAACGCUAAUACCGCAUAUGUCCUACGGGAGAAAGCAGGGGACCUUCGGGCCUUGCGCUAUCAGAUGAGCCUAGGUCGGAUUAGCUAGUUGGUGAGGUAAUGGCUCACCAAGGCGACGAUCCGUAACUGGUCUGAGAGGAUGAUCAGUCACACUGGAACUGAGACACGGUCCAGACUCCUACGGGAGGCAGCAGUGGGGAAUAUUGGACAAUGGGCGAAAGCCUGAUCCAGCCAUGCCGCGUGUGUGAAGAAGGUCUUCGGAUUGUAAAGCACUUUAAGUUGGGAGGAAGGGCAGUAAGUUAAUACCUUGCUGUUUUGACGUUACCGACAGAAUAAGCACCGGCUAACUCUGUGCCAGCAGCCGCGGUAAGAC
rnacentral:rRNA from 1 species